rnacentral:rRNA from 15 species
CGGAGAAAAAAAUAUCACGAGUCUCCCCCCAGUAAUGGCGAAAGAAGAGGUAUAGCUCAAAGUGAAUAUCUCCGUCGUGUUGCAACGGCGACUCGUAGUUUCGAGAUGUACUUUCCACACAUGUCGCGCUCACAUAAGUCGCUUGGAACCGCACGUCAUAGAGGGUGACAACCCCGUAUGUGGCAUCGCCCGGAUGCUUGCGAUGUACUCUCAAAGAGUCGGGUUGUUUGGGAAUGCAGCCCAAAAUGGGUGGUAAACUCCAUCUAAAGCUAAAUAUUGGCACGAGACCGAUAGCAAACAAGUACCGUGAGGGAAAGAUGAAAAGGACUUUGAAAAGAGAGUUAAAAAGUACGUGAAACCGUUGAAAGGGAAGCGAAUGGAGUUAGCAAUUCGUUUGUCAGAUUCAGUUGCAUGCACGCAACGACGUGCGCGCCCUUGAUCCGCAUGGACAAGGCGUGUCCGGAUGUGACGUGCAAGCAGCGCACUUCUGGCAGGCGAGCGUCAGCGUCGGUUGUUGUGGAGCGAAAAAGUUGCGGGGAAGGUAGGCGAAUUCUCGUUGUUAAGCCCUGCAUUCGCAUAUCUCGACGACGACCGUGGCACUGCGACGCGUGCUUUGCUGGCAACCCAAUUUCUCGGUCCGACAUGUCAACCGUGGUGGACGGCACGCCUGUGCACUCGAACCGCUGUCGGUCGUGUAUUGGUGUUUGCACAAUACGCGUCAAGGAUGCUGACGUU